rnacentral:ncRNA from 1 species
AAAGGCGGUCCCAUAGGCGAACCGUUUUGCUUUUUUUUUAGAUUCCCUUUCGAAUGGUGCGGCUUCUUUCCCUAAUCAUUUAGCAGAAAGCAGGAAAUUUCGCCCCAAAGCCGUUGGAUAUUUGUUUCACCCCAACCCAAUUAGGGGAAACGUGAGGCUGGGGUUUUAGACCCGUUCGGUGGAGACCAGGGUUUAGGUUUUUACCCCUAACCUGAAUGACAAAGUUCGUUGCCGAUUAGUAAUCCCUGCCUCAAGUACGAGGAGGGAACCCGCGGGGAUCAGACAUUUGGGUUCAUGCGCUCGGGCUGAAAAGGGCCGGGUGGCGCGAAGCUAGCAUUUUGCAAGAUUUAUGACUGAAACGCCCUUAAGUCAGAAUCUUUUUCUAGUCAUUGGCCAACGGAUAAAGUUGCGUCCAGACCUCGAUGCGAGGGAAACGGAUUUAGGCUUUGGUUGCUUAUAGGGGGAAACCCAUUAUUCAGACCACGGUAGCCAGGCCAGUAUGGGGAUUGUUACGAAGAAAGCAAUUUUUUGAAGUCAGUUGAAUUCAAUGAAACUGCUAACAAUUCCACUGCGAAAUGACUCCAUUCGAAUCAAUCGAAGCACAGCGGUCAGGAUGUCGAACAUUUUGCAGACGACAAAAAUACCGGUUCAGGUGUCGUAAUCAGUAGAGCAGUCAACACACUGCGAUCUGAUGAGACUCAUCCUUGUAAUCGAUUUGCUCGU